UCUUUACAGUGUCAGACCCUACAAGCCCCCCUUCCACUCCGGUCUCUCAAGAAGCAGAAUCCUCGAGCCCCUCUUCCACUCCGGUCUCUCAAGAUAACAUGGCAACAGCAAGGGUCAAACUAAACGUACCCGAAGGAGUGAAUCUUGAGGACCCCAAAGUGAGCGAAGCCAUUUUA